rnacentral:rRNA from 1 species
GACGAACGCUGGCGGCGUGCUUAACACAUGCAAGUCGAACGGAAAGGCCCUGCUUUUGUGGGGUGCUCGAGUGGCGAACGGGUGAGUAACACGUGAGUAACCUGCCCUUGACUUUGGGAUAACUUCAGGAAACUGGGGCUAGUACCGGCUAGGAGCUCCUGCUGCAUGGUGGGGGUUGGAAAGUUUCGGCGGUUGGGGAUGGACUCGCGGCUUAUCAGCUUGUUGGUGGGGUAGUGGCUUACCAAGGCUUUGACGGGUAGCCGGCCUGAGAGGGUGACCGGCCACAUUGGGACUGAGAUACGGCCCAGACGCCAACGGGAGGCAGCAGUGGGGAAUAUUGCACAAUGGGCGGAAGCCUGAUGCAGCAACGCCGCGUGCGGGAUGACGGCCUUCGGGUUGUAAACCGCUUUCGCCUGUGACGAAGCGUGAGUGACGGUAAUGGGUAAAGAAGCACCGGCUAACUACGUG